rnacentral:rRNA from 1 species
ACCCUUAGAUGUUCUGGGCCGCACGCGCGCUACACUGAUGCAGUCAACGAGUUUCGCCCUGCUUCGAUAGAGGUGGGUAAUCUUCUCAAACUGCAUCGUGCUGGGGAUAGAUUAUUGCAAUUUUUAAUCUUCAACGAGGAAUUCCUAGUAAGCGCAAGUCAUCAGCUUGCGCUGAUUACGUCCCUGCCCUUUGUACACACCGCCCGUCGCUCCUACCGAUUGAAUGGUCCGGUGAAAAUUAGGGACCGUGGCAAUGCCUACUGGGUCACCGGAAGCGCUGCCGUGGGAACUCAUUUAAACCUUAUCAUUUAGAGGAAGGAGAAGUCGUAACA